GACGAACGCUGGCGGCGUGCCUAAUACAUGCAAGUAGAACGCUGAAGCUUGUGCUUGCACCGAGCGGAUGAGUUGCGAACGGGUGAGUAACGCGUAGGUAACCUGCCUGGUAGCGGGGGAUAACUAUUGGAAACGAUAGCUAAUACCGCAUAAGAGUAGAUGUUGCAUGACAUUUGCUUAAAAGGUGCAAUUGCAUCACUACCAGAUGGACCUGCGUUGUAUUAGCUAGUUGGUGAGGUAACGGCUCACCAAGGCGACGAUACAUAGCCGACCUGAGAGGGUGAUCGGCCACACUGGGACUGAGACACGGCCCAGACUCCUACGGGAGGCAGCAGUAGGGAAUCUUCGGCAAUGGACGGAAGUCUGACCGAGCAACGCCGCGUGAGUGAAGGAGGUUUUCGGAUCGUAAAGCUCUGUUGUAAGAGAAGAACGAGUGUGAGAGUGGAAAGUUCACACUGUGACG
rnacentral:rRNA from 1 species